GUUGAUAAAUCUGUAAAUUUCUUUCUGCGCUUAUGUUGUCGGUGCACUCCAGCAAGACAGAAUGACGAAGCUAGCAUCAGCAUUGUACUUCAUAGCUGUUGUAUGCAUGGGUCUUCACACAGUUUAUAUUUCAUUUGCUUGCUUUACCACCUUGGACAAUUAUUCACGUCUUUAUCAUUGCAAGCUCGCCGUUCGUCUCGCUUCGAUGAAAAGGCACGGCUACCUUUCAAGAUGGCGCAGGGUACAUUGUAAUCUUCGUGAGUUCUUUAAUAGACAAUUCCACGUUUGUUUGUUGUUUUUUUUUUUAACUUUUUACAUGGACUAGUUAGCAAAAAUCCAUCGAUAAUGCUGGGAAAAACCUCAAAAUUAGUAAAAAAAAAAAUUUCGAGGAACGAAGAGAAUGGAACCUUUUGCACAAGAACGCUUAAAGAUGGCAGAAAUCUGAGCCAGACAAUGUUUUGUUUUCUUCAAAAACAAAAACUUCAAAACUGAAGUGUCACCUUUGGUUCUCUAUAACAUAUCAUUUUCGUAAGUUUUUGUGAUUGACAGCUCAAGCACUUCAGUGCUAUCAAUGCGACAGUGACAUAGCAUUGGUCAAUUGUACCAAGGUCCAGAAAGUGGUGACAUGUGACAGCAAUGUUCAUGAAUGCUGUACUGUUACUGAAACAGGCAAAUUCAUCUCUGGUUUGAAGUACAAAUACUUCGAAAAGGGCUGUAAAGGACGAAAACACAAGACACCUGAUAAUCUCUUUUCACACAGCGUUAGCACACAAUGUCGUGGGCAAUCACUUCGUAACGCUAGUCAAAUCAGCCAAGCAAGCUUUGUUCUCGUUUUCUGCCUGAUUCUGGUCUCAAAGAUGAUUGCAACCUAGUCCUAAAUAUCCAUGCUUUUGAAAGAUCAAAGGAUGGAUCAAUAGUAGUAAUAGGAAAGGCAGAUUAGGUACAUUUUUCUACUUGUUAUUGAUCAGGUGAACAAACCUACACUGUACAUGACAUAAAAACACUGUCCUUCAUGUGCUAUCAA